rnacentral:rRNA from 1 species
GAGAAGCGAACCUGCGAAGGCAAGCGGAUCUCUUAAAGCCGUUCUCAGUUCGGACUGUAGGCUGCAACUCGCCUACACGAAGCUGGAAUCGCUAGUAAUCGCGGAUCAGCACGCCGCGGUGAAUACGUUCCCGGGCCUUGUACACACCGCCCGUCACACCAUGGGAGUCGGAAAUGCCCGAAGCCGGUGACUCAACCUUUAAGGAGAGAGCCGUCGAAGGCAGGUCUGAUAACUGGGGUGAAGUCGUAACAAGGUACC